AAAAGUAAGUUUUUUGCCAAAAAAUUUUUUUUUACAUCAACCCCUUCAGGUGCCCCAACCUCCUAAAAACAAUUUUUUUUUUUGGAAAAAUUUUUCGAUACGGCCCUAUAUGUAAACUCUUCUUGAAUGUUUAAAAAGUCUGUGUUCAAAAUUUGGAGGCUCUCGGAACAUUUUUGGAGGUGCCCCAAAGACCUAACGGAAAAUAAAAAAAUCCUAUUUCAUGUAGAUAAUACAAUUUUAGCUGAAAUCUAAACAAAUUAACGAAAUAAUACAUUUAUUGACGGUAAUACGACUCGUUACAUUUCUAUAAGGUAAUAUUAAAUAUUAAAAGUGAGUGUAGGAACAAUAAUGUAGGUAAGAAAAAUAAAACUAACAAUUCAACAAAACACUUAAGCUGCCAAAACGUAUUUACCUUAAAAGGAACGUGUACCGAUUUACAAAAAA
rnacentral:lncRNA from 1 species